UAAUGUGUGAAGUCUUGCUUGAGAAUGCUCCGGGCACUUGGCUGUAGAAGGAAGAAUAGAAAUUGCGAUAACAAAAUCCUAAAUAGAAUACUAACAAUGCUCUAAUUAGACUGUAAUAAUAGUAAACAAACGUAAUCAAAUUCAAAACAACUCAAAGAAAUUUCCAACAAACAAUAAAAUUCUUAAAGAAAUAUUAGAAUGAUUACAAAUUUUACUCAAAUAUAUGUUAAUUCAACCUUAAUUUAAUUCUAGUUAAAACCCUAUUCAAUUUCACUCAACUUUAGACCAAACCUAAUUAAAUCUUAAACCCUAAUAAAUCCUAAAUCCUAAGACAAAUCCUAAACAAAUCUUAAAUUAAACCCUAUUCCAAACCCUAAACCCUAAACCAAACCCUAAAUCAAACCCUUAACCAGAAUCCUAAUCCAACCCUAAACCCUAGAACCAAACCUUAAAAUCAAACCCUAACCAAACUCUACUCUAAAGUCCUAAAUCAAAACCUAACCAAACCCUAAACCCUAAUCCAAACCCUGAUCCAAUCUUAAACUCUAAUCCAAACCCUAAACCCUAAACAAAAUCUUAAAUCAAAC
rnacentral:lncRNA from 1 species